CUAACCCAUCACAAUUAUCAUUCUCCUUCCUUCAUUCAUUCAUUCAUUCACCUUUCUCUUCUCUUCUUCAAGUUGGUUUGGCAAAGUGUUGCUAACAGAGUUUAUUGGCAUUCUGUCCACCUCCGCUUCUUCUUCUUCUUUCUCACCCACAAGCUUGGAGGUGGGCAUACUGCCAACUGAUCUCUGUUAACUCCUCUUUGUAAAGCCUUCGUGAUGUUUCUUUCUCAAUUUAUUACGAUCUGCACCGUGAUUUUUUUUACCCUUCUAUAAGGACCCUAAGAUGGCUAAGGAAAUCUCGCAGAGAGAGGUAGCCCUAGUACUCAUUGAUUUGUUUGUUUGCAUUAUGAUGUGUUCUCUCCUCGCUCAAUCUUUACAUGUGUUGGUUUGGGGAGAUGGAAACCCUAAUUUCUUUCUUGGUUUAUUUUUGUUUGGAUGUGUUGGUGUUGAAAGUUUUCAUUUUUCUUCGUGGAUCCAUGUUGUUUAGACCUAUCCGGUCUUUAUGAGAGGCUGAUGAGAUGGGAUUUCAAUGAUUUUUACAACCCUUUUGAUAACAAAUCAAAGUUUUUUUUUUCACUUAUCGGAAAUGGUUUUUCAUUUGGAAUAUCGAAUUUCAAAGGGGUAUUCAUUCCAUAUGCUAUGAUCUGGUUAUGCUUUUGUUUGUAAAUCAGUGUCCGUGGCCUCGGUUUCGAGUCAUGCAUGCCUGGCUUAUUGCCAUAUUGAUAGUAAAAAAACAAGAUGCUUUGGGUUAUUCGUGUUGCUUAUUUGCUAUCAAUACAUGGCAUAUGUAGCAAGCAGCAUCAGGUGAGGCAGAUGGGGUGUCAGCAUAAAAAAAUGGAUGUGGCCAACCCUUCUUCUCUUCCUUUCCCUAGUGUCUGUCGAGGGUAGUACGUUUUUCUGUUUCUUUCUUUCUAGGCUCCACGAGCUCUCUGAACGUCAGGUUAGGCGCAUGAUUGCAGAUUGACAUUAAAACCCUCUUGCUCUUGUUUCAAUGCAAAGCGCACUCUUUCAUGGCGCGUGACCUUCUUUCAUACUCAGUAACCCUUGUCUGCUUCCUAACAAUUUCUCUCUUUUAACACACUUUCUAACCUACUAUUUCUGUUCAUAAGUUUUGUUGGGACUACAAAAUCACGCAUACACUUGUUAAUUAACAAAUGAGAUUCAAAUUUAAAAAAUUUUGUAAAAAUUUGACAGUUAAAUCAUGAGUGAGUGUCUUUUACAAGCAUAAGGGUAAUCACAGAUAUUGUUGGCUUUGAUAGUUGUUAAACCUUGUUCUGAAAAUUCAUAUGAAUGAGUUAAGGAAUGGGGGUGCUGAUAUAAACAAUCUUUACACGAUUUUUGUCCUUGAUUUCUAAACAAAGUAAGAAUUGAUAAAUUAAAUAAAUAUGGAAAUGAAAUGAUAAAGGAAGAAUAGGGAUGGAAAUGCAAGAAUUGAAUAAGUUUGGAGAAAAUAAUGAUGAUAGAUGGGAAUUGAAAUGUGAUUAAUAGGAUGUGGUGUAAAGAUGGGACAGCAGGGCGGGUGGCCCCCCAAACUUCGGAGGUGCGUGUACUACACAAGUGAAAUGCAAUGGCAAUGCAUCUUACAACUAACGGCAAAUGCAUAUUUUGAAUUUGGUUCAAGAGAGUGUACGACUUCACAGUGCUAGAAGUGGAAUUUAUUUACCUAAAUUAUGUGGACCAUUUCAUUACUAUAAUGGUAUGGGCUUGUCCUUCACACCCGUCCCACCGUUAUACAAUAGUGAGGGAUAACGCCACAACGAUUUUGUUUUUGUUGCCAUGAUCACGAUUUUGUUUUUGUUGCCAUGAUCAUACCAAUAGAUCUCACUCAAUUUUAUUAUUAUUUUGGUCCCUUUUCUCAAAGGUGAACCUCUUUGGAGGUACACAUAAAUAACGAUGGAGUCCUUGGAGAGUUGGAGAUAUUGCACGAAGGGUAGAAAGUCUAAUAAGGUGGACCAAGUUUUGUGGUCAAUUCAGAACUUGAAGUUGGUAAAAAGUAAUUUCAGAUUUGGAUAUCUCGUAAAACUGUAAAAAGCAGGGAUUGUGUACCCCUGAUAAUAUUAUUUAGUCGCUGCCUUUUUCUUGAGGAUACAGGCAAAUGAUGGAUCUUAAAGACUACAGCACGUUAAUUAAUUAAACAACCUUUUCACAGAGCCAUGAAAUGAUCACGGAAAGGACAUGCAACGAUAAGCGCUUGUUACUCGAUGACUAUGUUAAAAUAAUAAACGCUCCCUAUUUUGGGUCUUUUUGUUGUAAUGUAUGUCUUAGAUCGUCCUUUUAGUUUCAAUGUAGAUUUAGGAGAUCCUCUUGCUUUCAAGUUAUAUGCAAGUUGCAUAGCAGCAGGCAGAAAAUGGCCGAAUUGCUUCCUCUAGUAUUAGGCAGCAAAAAUAUCUUAGGAUGUUAAUACAAUAAGAUGAUAAAGGAAUGAGAACUUAAAUUUUAUUGUAA